AUAUAUAUAUUAAAUUGUUGUUAAAUAUGAUCCGCAACAUUAAGCUUGCUGCUCAUAACAUUAAUUGUAGUAUAAAGAACUCCAAACUAACUUGUAAAGAUAGUUAAAGUGAUUAUAUUAAGCUUCUUGAUGAUUAAAAAAAAAAGUUAAAAGUAUGACUUUGUUAAUCAACAAUUUUUUUUAGUAGAGAAUUGGGGGAAUGGGAAUUCAAACAUUGUUUUGCCAAGUGUGUGAUAAGCUUUCAGUCACUAGACCAACCCAAGCUAGACUUGUUAAUCAACAAUUUUGAUAACUAUGGUCUUAUUGUAUAAUCAUAUUUAACAUCAAGUAUCACACUAAUUUUGAUACUAUUGAUAUGAACUUAGGAGAACCA
rnacentral:misc_RNA from 1 species